rnacentral:rRNA from 1 species
UACUCCUACGGGAGGCAGCAGUGAGGAAUUUUCCGCAAUGGGCGCAAGCCUGACCGAGCAACGCCGCGUGAGCGAAGACGGCCCUAUGGGUUGUAAAGCUCUGUUGUAAAGGAAGAACACUAUGAAUAGAAUUCAUAGCUGACGGUACUUUACCAGAAAGCCACGGCUAACUACGUGCCAGCAGCCGCGGUAAUA